rnacentral:tRNA from 1 species
GGUUGCAUGGUGUAGUGGUUAUCACGUUCGCUUUACACGCGAAAGGUCGCCAGUUCAAACCUGGCUGCAAUCA